AUCAGGGGGGUCACUUGACCCAGGUGUUGCUGGUAAGAAGCAAACAGUCUUUGAACGUGCGGUAAUGGCUGUGAAAAGAAGGUUAUGAUUUCUUCUGUCUAUGUUUUGGGGAAAUAGACUUAUCCCGAUUGUAAGCAAGAAAUCGCCUUUGUUUUUUGGUAACUGGACACUUCAAAACAAUUAAUCAGCAACCAUGGUGGCUUCUUUUGAUUGGCCACGGGGUCACUACAAUAAGUCAAAAACUGCUCCAUUGAGGACAGCGUUGGAUGUCUGCUGUGGUUUGACUGUGUCCCAGGACCAGCUGCUGUGGUUUGACUGUGUUUUCCGGGACCAGCUGCUGGGGCUUCUCAACGUCUCCUGUUGCGCACCGGAGCUGUUGGAGCUGCGGAUCACGCACGGAGGGAAACAGAACUUCAGAACACCUGCAUGCCGGCCAACGCCAAAGCCCGUUCUAUAACCCAACACCGUGCACAGCCCCUCUCUCUCGGCUGACUGACCUCUCUGAUCGCCGCCAGCGUGUUCUCCGGUGCGUCGUGGCUCCCGCCGCGGUGCGCCACCACCGGGACGCCGCCCGGAGGAGCCCCGGGCCGGAGGACGCGGCCGGCCUGCUCCGCCGGCACCGGGGGGAACCGGAACAUCACCAUAAAGACGUAGAGGAACGCGGUGAGCAGGGAGGCCCCCGUGGCGCUCCUGGUCCCCAGCAUCAGCAGCAGGAACACCGCCGAGAAAUACAUCACCUCGUCGCCGAUCUGCAGCAUGGUGGCGGCAGGGCAGGGUGCUAGAUCAACGACCGGAGCGGAGGAUGGAGGAGUCGAUGCUCAGGAAGAUGGCACGGGACAUGGAUGGAGCUGCACCGCCUGCGCCCCGCUGACUACAUGGUGGUGGAUCCGAGAGAUGAGCGAGAAUCUGCAGCUUCGCGUUGGGAAGAGGGAGCGUCAGGGCGGUCGCUAAUGUCAAGUGUGAAGACAAAUGAGAAACAUCCGCUCAAAACAUUCAGAAUAAAAAGCUUCAUAUCCAAA